AUGGAUGGCCAUUCCUGUGAUCUUGGGAGCGUGCCGGCAGUGGCAUCUGAUGGUGCGGGUGCCUCUUCUGCUGUCGCCGGCGGCACGGACAUUUCUCCAGGGAAGCAGUCUGCCCUGGAUAGAGCUUCGGGACAGGGGGAGAAUGCAGAUUGUUCAGUGGAGGCUGGAAUGUGUGCAGGUUUCUCCAAGCCGGUUGGCUUGGGGUUGAAGAAGGACCUCCAGAAGUGCGCAACGUUUCCGUCAUCGUCAUCUGCCGCUGAGGCCGAACCGGAGGACUCAUGCUGUGAUGCCGAUGAUGACGCGCCGAAGGACGCGCACACUUACCAGCGCUCUGUGUCCUUGCCUCCAACUGUGAAGCUCAUCCCUGCUAUCAAAGGAAGCCGCCAAAAGAAUGGGAUUCCUUUACCAGCAGAGGAUCGCCACAUCAAAUGGGCGGCCGACGUGUAUGACCCCCCUGUUUCAUCCGUUUCUCAUUCUGUGAACAACAGUUACCAGCGGCGGCCAAAGCCUCGUAAGAAGGACAAGACCAAACAGAAAGAGAAGCGGAAGGCCAGGAACAAGAAAAAAACCAACAACGCUGCCCAGAAUCCAGCUGUGCUCCAGACUCCUGGACUGGAAGACCUUGGCACCUCCAUUGGUAGCGAGGCCCAAGCCGAUCCUGGCAAAGUUGAGACCGAGAUGUUGGACUAUGGCAUCAGCAGCCAAGAGGUGAAAUGCGGAACCAGCUUCCUGCUCGAGUCGGCUGCUAAAAUGCAUUUCUCCACCGCCGAGGCCUCCUGA
rnacentral:rRNA from 1 species